ensembl:lincRNA
GACACGGGUUAGGGCAGCGGGACAAAGGCUGGGAUACUUACUGGUCACCCCGUGUCUGCAGGCAGCGGCCCACGCCGCCGGGUGUGGUGCUUUCUAAGGCACAGGGUGCUCAGCGUACGGUAGAGCCGCAGAGGGUGGUGUAAGACACAAAUCCGCCCUUUUUUUAUUUUUUGAAGACAGAUUAUUAAAUAUAUUUGUAAUGGACUCACAGGGACUUAUAGGAAAAGUCUCCUGGCAAGAAGGACAGAGCUCUGGAAAUUCUAAUUGCUUUUGCUUAUUUUAUUAAACUACUAUGUUUUCAUAGUAUAUCUAGAUUCAUGACUUUCAUAUUCCUUUAGUAAAUUGCAGCUUCUAUCGCCACAUAAUUUCUCUUUGUAGCUUACGCAAUUCUUCUCAUCCUAAACUCUACCUUUUCUGAUAGCACUAUUGAAUUCUUAAAUUAAUUAGCCAUUUCUUGCAAGCUCUUGGCCUACCUAUUUUUUUCCAGUAUCAUUAGAGCAUUUAACCACUUUUUAAACCUGGUUCGACAGAAUAGGGUUCAUUCACAUUUAGAGUAAAACCUCCAUGUCUGAUUUUAUUCCUUUUAUUUUACACUAUAUAUUUUACAUGCUGUUUCAUCUUUUCCCUUCUUUUCUUUUGUUGGCUUAAUUUUCCUAUUUCCUCUUUAUCUUUGUGUGAGUGUGAGAGUUCAAUUUCCAGAGCACCCACCACCAAAAGCUUUCUGUUAUACCAUUAUAUGAAAAUGUACUUUUUUCCCAACAAGCCUGUCUACAAGCUGGGAAAUGGUUUAUUUCUUUUUUUUUUUUUUUUCUCAACUUUCCAUCCUUCCCUGCCCCACCCUUUGGUUUUACUCAAGUAUAUUUAGUUCCUGACCAGAAUUACCAUUUCACUGUACAUUUAUGUAUUUUUGGUUAUGUUUCUUCUGUUUCAAGACUCUAUACAAUUAGUUGUUUGUCUAAGGACUUUUAUACCAUUGGUCAACUUUAGUUACAGCUUUAGACAAACUUUGGUACCCUUGACCAAGCUUUAAUUAGCAUUCUCUGAGCCCUCUUUCCACAUAGCCCCAACUAUUGGGGUGUACAGUGCCCUUAGCAAGAAUCUUGUCAAGUCUGAUUUAGCGAGAAUUCUCCCCUCUAACUAUAUAGCCACCUCUUUGAGUGUGUGUGUGUGGGGGGGGUGUGUAUCUGCAUCUGUGUACUGUACUGUACCUAGGGCCUUCACAAUGAGACAUUCCCACCCCUUUAAAAAUUUUUUUGAGAGCUCAAACUUGAGAACCUCCUGCUUGGGCCUCCCAGAAUGCUGGUGUGCGCUACCACACCCGCUAGUCACCUGAUUUGUACCUCACUAUUCCCCAGAUAAUGUGUCUUCAGCUAGAAUCCUGUUAGGUCAGUGUAAUGAGAACCCUAACCUCUUAGUAAUUUUCCAGCCCUGACCAUUCCCCACCGUGUCCUUGAUAUAAGUAUCCACUUUUCCUUCUUGUAUUUUAAGUUGACCCAAAUCUCUUGCAAAUCCCUGUUCUAAUACUUCCUAUACAUACUGUGAUACUUCUGAAUAAAUUCUGUCUUACCAUUUUACAGUCAGAAUAUUUUUGUUUGAUUUUCUACAAGAUGAUUUUGCAUUAAAUAAUUGUAUUUCAGAGAUGAGUUAUAAAAUUUUAGGGGAGGUUUUCUCUUACAAAUGCUGAAUAUUAAUAUUGAACAAUCAUGUAGUUUGGAUAUGGUGAGAAUAGAGCUUUCCCACAUCCUCAAAAUAUGAUUUACAUAGAAAAUAAUCUCUGGAUGUACUUUUUUUUUAAAAAGGAAAAUCCAAAGCAAAUAAAUCACACUGCUAACUCUGGUACACCUAGCCAUCAGUCACAUAACAGCUGAGGAAGAUACCUAAUGAAUGUUCAUCAAAUAUUUUCCAAUGACUGGAUAAAUCAAUGACUCAUAGGGAUUAUGAUAAUCAAUAUUGAUAACUUACCACUGAAGUUUUGGGUUACUUUUUUUGGAAAAUUAGUAGCUUCUCUACUAGCCAACUUAUUGACCUGUUUUACU